GACGAACGCUGGCGGCGUGCUUAACACAUGCAAGUCGAACGGAAAGGCCCUGCUUUUGUGGGGUGCUCGAGUGGCGAACGGGUGAGUAACACGUGAGUAACCUGCCCUUGACUUUGGGAUAACUUCAGGAAACUGGGGCUAAUACCGGAUAGGAGCUACUGCUGCAUGGUGGGGGUUGGAAAGUUUCGGCGGUUGGGGAUGGACUCGCGGCUUAUCAGCUUGUUGGUGGGGUAGUGGCUUACCAAGGCUUUGACGGGUAGCCGGCCUGAGAGGGUGACCGGCCACAUUGGGACUGAGAUACGGCCCAGACUCCUACGGGAGGCAGCAGUGGGGAAUAUUGCACAAUGGGCGGAAGCCUGAUGCAGCAACGCCGCGUGCGGGAUGACGGCCUUCGGGUUGUAAACCGCUUUCGCCUGUGACGAAGCGUGAGUGACGGUAAUGGGUAAAGAAGCACCGGCUAACUACGUG
rnacentral:rRNA from 1 species